ensembl:lncRNA
CCUGUGCUCCAUCACCCUAAAAGUAAAGUUUUUCCUCACAUUCUUAUGUAACUUCCUGUAUCCCAGUUUGUGGCUGUUGCCCCCCAUCUUGCAGCUGAGCACCACUGAAAAGAGGCUGGCCCCAUCCUCUUGAUUCCUGCCCAUUAGAUAUUUAUAAACUGUGAUCACCUCUCAGUCUUCUCUGAACAGCUCUAGGUCUCUCAGCCUUUCCUUGUACUGGAGAAGCUUUAGGCCCAUCACCAUCUUUGUGGCCCUUGCUGAACAAUCUCCAGAAGUUCCCUGUCUUAUUUGAACUGGGGAGCCCAGAAUUGGACUCAACACUCCAGGUGUGGCCUCACCGGGGCAGAGGAGAGGGGAGGAUCACCUUCCUGACCUGCUGGCUGCAUCUUGAGCUGAUGGGAAAUAUGAGACGGAGAUGGUACAAGAGAGACAUGCAAAAAUUCAGGAGCCUUCCCAGGUCAUCUUCUUACUGCUUCCUAAUGUUUACUUGAUGUGAUCGAAAUGAGUAUUGAGAGAAUGGAGAAUUCAGAUUAAAGCAAAAGUUAGAAGGAAAUCAUUCUUUCAUCAAGCACAAUCCACAACAUUUAAGACACUCCUUCAAACUCAGAAUUCAUUAAGUCAAAUUAGAAGCUUCAGUUUUAUUCUGGGAUUUUCAACAAGUUUCUGUCGUACAGGCACUGAGGAACAAGACAAAGGCAGAGGCCUAUUACUGAAUAUGACAGAGAGCUUCUGGUGUUUUCCCCAAAUGCGGACUCAUCUGCAGCUUCAUUCACAUCACUGCUGGAACACAUGGUCCUCAGCGCAGAGUUAGGAGAAGAUUAAGAUACCAUGAGAUGAGAGAACAGCUAGUUUGAAGGAGAACCAUGAUGGGACAUCAUUUACACACUUCAAAUUGGAGAAUUGAGCCUUUGAUAAAAGAAAGAAACAAAGCUCACAGGAAAAACUCCAAGAGGAUCAGUCUCCAGAAAGAGAUCCCUCCUCAGUGGCAGUCAGCCCUUAAAUGGGGUCUUGGAGAGGUGCAGCCAGGUUCCACCCCUUCCAGUCACGCAGCUGAAUUGCCUUCACCUGUGCUCCCAUGGCUGACUCAGUGAUCACCUCAGCUGAUGAAUCAGAGGUUCAGGUCAUGAUUCAACAGUUCUGAUACACAUGGAAAACAGUCUUUUAUUAACAAGGGACCCUGUCUGAUUCUGAAGAAGUCAACGGCUAAAACUGCAGCAGGUUACCUUUCUGCUCAUUAAAGAAAAUAGAUGUCAGGAGUGUUCUACUAAACACUAAAAGUACAGGAGCCAAACAGCUAAGAUGAGAUUAUCUUUGUCAAGCUAUGACAGAACUAUCCAAGGUUCAGCACAGGUGGGAGCAGCCUCCCCCCUCCUGGCUGAGGCAGGAGCUGCAAAAGGCUCUAUGAAUGACAUGUGAAAUGGCUGCAAAGAGCAAAGACAACAAGCCACAGCAAAAAAAUGUAACCAGCUGAUUUUUCAACGUUCAUCAAGCCAAACAGCCAAUACUUACCAAGACUCUGCUAGUCAGGUUGGUCUCCAGAAACAUUCAGCAAGCAUUGAUCAGUGUCAAUGGGUGGCAUUUUUUCCUGCAUGGAGGAAUUCAGUGGCACACCCUUGCUUCCGAUGGAUUCCGUCAGUCUGCCCCUCUGCUGCCAUCUGUCACAUGGAAACAACAUGUAAUGGAGUACUGUUAGGAAGGUUCAACCCCUGCUGCCAAACCACCAGCAUCCACCUCUGAUGUCAGGGGCCAACAUAAUAAAACAGGAGGCAUUACUUUCAGAGCAGCAAUUGUAUAAAUCGGACGCUCUUUAACAUUUAUUCAAGUUUAUUAAAAUACUACCAGAAUUUCUUGAAUUUUCUGAGUUGUGGACACCAUGAUAAGUUAAAUGCAGCUCUUCCCACUGCUUCAUAGAGAAACUCAAAUGCUAAUUUCAAGAAGUAAACAUUUUAUCUUUUUAGAUACUGAAAAUCACAGCCCAUCUUAAAAGUUGUUCUAUCUGAGUGAUUUUGAACUUUUUCUCUGGCGCCUCAUCUCACACUGGCUCACAUAAGUCUCACGCUUCCCAGUGUACUGGAAACAAUAAAUUCAAUGUGACGUUGUGAGAAAAUCUGAUAGAAUGAGUAUAGCUUGCCAGCUUGAAAUUCAGAAAUGAAACAAUCAUUUUUCAUCACGGUGCCAUUUGCUUAAGGGAGAUGUUCACACGUAGGAAAACUUUAACUACCAUAAUAUAAUAUAGUAACCUUAAAUAUUCUCUCUGAUGCUUUCUUAGUACUUUUCACUACCAGCAAUAUUUACAUUAGAGAUGCUCUUGAGCUACAAGCAACAGAUUCAGAUUUUACUUUCAUCUGCAAACUCACAAAAAUUCAAACUUAUACCACAGUUCCAAACAGCAUGUGUUGUGGAAAAAUAAAUCCCACUGAGGAAAGAAAAUGUGGUCAAUCUGUAGUCUUUGAUGGGUACAGUUCUGGACUAACAGAUAGCUUAGUGAACUGUAGAAAUAAUUUAUCAUAUCACUUUCAAAUAAUGUUUCUCAGUUUUAGUGCAUCGUUCCACUUAUAUGAAAACUGUAAGAUGUGAAAUACUCCUUAGUUUUUGGUGCAUGCUGAAUAUUUUGAAGAUUCUAAAAUGUAGGCUCCUAGCACUUGGCAGACCCUUAAGCUGAGAAAAACAUGGAAAUAGCAGACUGGUUAACUCAAGCAGAAAUUGCCCUAACGGGAAGACAUCUGAUUCUUCAAGCUUUUAAAAGCAUCUGUCUCAGUGGAUAGCUCCAAGACAGACUCUCUGCGAGUGCCACAGGACAGUUCAGAGGAACAGAGUGAUCUGAAAACCACUAAAUGGGAGGGAAAGAUAAAAACAUAUUGUCAGGAAGAUAUAUAUUCAUUACACGAGUUCGGUUGAUGCCAAGAUUUCCUUCAAAAGAAGGCAGAAAUACAAGUAUGCAGUUCACGUGUAAAUGAAGAGAAAACAUUUCAGGUUGAUGAAGAUGACUGGAAGUGAGACUGCCUGAAAUCAGUGAGAGUUAAGGAAAAUAGGGAAAUCCUACUGAAUAUUUUUAUCUGCAGUAAAGAGAUUUGCUGCAAUAACUACGGCGGAAAAGUACAGCUUCUUCUUCUAGUUAGAUUAUCAAGAGCACCAGUAAAAGCUUGGGUUUUGUUGUUCACAGGGAUAAGUCUAUUGUGUUCAGGGGAAAGAAAUCUGCAAGGAAACAUCAUCUUCUACCCCACAAACAUGUGAGGUGAAAUAGAGAUGCUGAUAGAGUCCUUCACAUUCAGCUCUACUCCAGAGCAGUAAAAAGCAGCAGGGUGUAUGCUCUUGCGGGUUUUGUUUUUUUAAAAUGCUUUCUCCAGAAAACACCACACACUGCAGCACAGGCAAUGCAUGUGGAGUAUGGCUCUUAAACCUGCACUGGGUGCACACUGGUAUUUACUACUCUCAUGUUACUACUGCAUUUUCAUACGUUCUAUAGAAGCACUCCAACACUGUGCCUCCCUCUGGCCUUUUUGCCUUCUUUAAAAACCACUUGCAGAGGACACCAGUUGCUGCUAAGCGGUGUACUUUUGGAAACUUCCAUUUCAGUUCCAUUUCUGAAGUGACGGCAAAAAGGCACAGUGCUUGCAAUUUUGAUUAUAUUCUACAUAGCUUACUUCAAUGUCUUGUUGCCAUGUAAAAUAGUACUAAAUCAGCUUCAAUUUUCUGCAUAAUUAAAAUAACCAUAAUAGUUCAACAUGGAAGCAUGCCAAGUUCAUUUGUAGGAGACGUUUUCAAAUAUUGCUGAGAAAAAUUACAUUUAAAAAAUUCCCAUGUGAUUGAAAAUGGAAUAAUACUCUGAAAAUGUGCACACAUACAUGUUCAAGUCUUUAAGGAGAUAAAAGAGUCAGUGCUCUCUUGUGUUUACUCUGCCAAUAUUUAAUACAGAUGAUAGCAUCCAUUCCUCUUUCCUUAUUAAAUGCUAUCCUUAAUCUCAAUCUGAAUUAUCAUUGUACACUCCAAAACAGGAUAAAUUCAGGACUCCUGAUAGUGAUGCAUGACUGUGGUGUUUCAUAUCGUGGUGCCUACUAUGAUGCUGCUGUAGAAAGAUGUGGUUUUCCAUUUACUGAGCGCUUAAACUUUGUAGAAACUUUGCAGGCAUUUGUCUGCUUAAAUAUGUGCCAAAUAACCACUGUUGUUCUGUUUUUAAGAUGUAACUCUAAAAAAAGUUAACAAGAUAUAUUCCAAAACACCUUGCAUGCUUUGUUUUCCCUUUUAAAUUAUUCUCAAUUGUGUUAUCUCUCCAUCUCAAUAUCACAAUGACAUAAGGAUCUGCUUUGGCUGUCUGUAAUGUGUUUUUUUUUAUUAUUAUUAUUUUAUUUAAUGCAUUUAGAAUGACCUUCUACGUCCAUUAAAUUAUAUAUGAUCUAGUUUCUUGGCAGGGCCAUUUAUGAUCAUUUGUCUUAGAUUUUAUGUAUUGCUUUUCAUUGUUGAUCUCAGAAAUUGUCUUACUUACACUGAAUAAAAAG